CGCGUAUAGGUCUCGUUGGUGACCAGCGGAGGGAUCAUUACCGAGUUUACAACUCCCAAACCCAAUGUGAACGUUACCAAACUGUUGCCUCGGCGGGAUCUCUGCCCCGGGUGCGUCGCAGCCCCGGACCAAGGCGCCCGCCGGAGGACCAACCAAAACUCUUAUUGUAUACCCCCUCGCGGGUUUUUUUAUAAUCUGAGCCUUCUCGGCGCCUCUCGUAGGCGUUUCGAAAAUGAAUCAAAACUUUCAACAACGGAUCUCUUGGUUCUGGCAUCGAUGAAGAACGCAGCGAAAUGCGAUAAGUAAUGUGAAUUGCAGAAUUCAGUGAAUCAUCGAAUCUUUGAACGCACAUUGCGCCCGCCAGUAUUCUGGCGGGCAUGCCUGUCCGAGCGUCAUUUCAACCCUCGAACCCCUCCGGGGGGUCGGCGUUGGGGAUCGGCCCUCCCUUAGCGGGGUGGCCGUCUCCGAAAUACAGUGGCGGUCUCGCCGCAGCCUCUCCUGCGCAGUAGUUUGCACACUCGCAUCGGGAGCGCGGCGCGUCCACAGCCGUUAAACACCCAACUUCUGAAAUGUUGACCUCGGAUCAGGUAGGAAUACCCGCUGAACUUAAGCAUAUCAAUAAGCCCGGAGGAAA
rnacentral:rRNA from 1 species